GCGGCUUUGAAUGAUUGAGUCGUGCGUCGGGCGACCAUUGUUUUUAGUGUUGGGUUCUUCUACUAGGGCUAACCUGUCAAUUCGGUUCCACUCUAAAGUUUCUUCCGUUUUCUCCCAGCGAGCUAUGGCAAAAACCACACCGUCGCCGUCGCUGUCACCGUCGCCGCCGACGCCAAAGAAAGUGAGGCACGAAAUGGAGUUGUUUGGGGACGUUAGAGUAGACAACUACUACUGGCUCCGUGAUGACUCUCGUUCUAACCCAGAGCUCCUCUCUUACCUCCACCAAGAAAAUGCUUACACAGAUUCUAUAAUGUCUGGGACCAAGCAAUUAGAGGAUCAUAUUUAUACCGAGAUAAGAGGAAGAAUUAAAGAAGAUGACAUAUCUGCACCCAUGCGGAGAGGAUCAUACUUUUACUACACGAGGAACUUGGAGGGUAAGGAAUAUGUCCAACAUUGUAGAUGCUAUGUGCCUACAAGUGGAGUUCCGACAUCUGUUUAUGAUACGAUGCCAACUGGACCUGAUGCUCCUUCCGAGCAUAUUAUAUUGGAUGAGAAUGUGAAAGCUCUAGAACAUACAUAUUACAGUAUUGGUGCUUUCAAAGUCAGCCCAAAUAACAAGUUAGUUGCAUAUGCAGAGGACACGAAAGGGGAUGAAAUAUACACUGUUUAUAUUAUUGAUGCAGAGUCUGGAAUGCUGGUCGGGAAACCUCUGGUUGGUUCCAUUACAUCAUAUCUCGAAUGGGCGGGUGAUGAAGCAUUGGUUUAUGUCACAAUGGAUGACAUCUUUCGACCAGACAAGGUCUGGUUGCAUAAAUUGGGAACUGACCAGUUAG
rnacentral:misc_RNA from 1 species